AUUGAACGCUGGCGGCAUGCUUUACACAUGCAAGUCGAACGGUAACAGGGAGCUUGCUCCGCUGACGAGUGGCGAACGGGUGAGUAAUGCGUCGGAACGUGCCGAGUAGUGGGGGAUAACGCAGCGAAAGUUGUGCUAAUACCGCAUACGUACUGAGGUAGAAAGUGGGGGACCUUCGGGCCUCACGCUAUUCGAGCGGCCGACGUCUGAUUAGCUAGUAGGUGAGGUAAAGGCUCACCUAGGCGACGAUCAGUAGCGGGUCUGAGAGGAUGAUCCGCCACACUGGGACUGAGACACGGCCCAGACUCCUACGGGAGGCAGCAGUGGGGAAUUUUGGACAAUGGGCGAAAGCCUGAUCCAGCCAUGCCGCGUGUCUGAAGAAGGCCUUCGGGUUGUAAAGGACUUUUGUCGGGGAGGAAAUCCCCAGCGCUAAUACCGCUGGGGGAUGACAGUACCUGAAGAAUAAGCACCGGUUAACUACGUGCCAGCAGCCGCAGUAAAAC
rnacentral:rRNA from 1 species